AACGCUGGCGGCGUGCCUAAUACAUGCAAGUCGAGCGAACGGACGAGAAGCUUGCUUCUCUGAUGUUAGCGGCGGACGGGUGAGUAACACGUGGAUAACCUACCUAUAAGACUGGGAUAACUUCGGUAAACCGGAGCUAAUACCGGAUAAUAUUUUGAACCGCAUGGUUCAAAAGUAAAAGACGGUCUUGCUGUCACUUAUAGAUGGAUCCGCGCUGCAUUAGCUAGUUGGUAAGGUAACGGCUUACCAAGGCAACGAUGCAUAGCCGACCUGAGAGGGUGAUCGGCCACACUGGAACUGAGACACGGUCCAGACUCCUACGGGAGGCAGCAGUAGGGAAUCUUCCGCAAUGGGCGAAAGCCUGACGGAGCAACGCCGCGUGAGUGAUGAAGGUCUUCGGAUCGUAAAACUCUGUUAUUAGGGAAGAACAUAUGUGUAAGUAACUGUGCACAUCUUGACGGUACCUAAUCAGAAAGCCACGGCUAACUACGUG
rnacentral:rRNA from 1 species